UUUAAAGGCCAAGACACUGAAGUCCUCCAUUUUUUCGCAGAACAUGGACAGCAGCAAUUCAACUUUUCCCCACACUGCCUUGCCAAAUGUGCUUCGACCCUGACCUGGGGGGCCCACCGCUGGGGUGAUGGGGUGGCUCAUUCAUUCAUUCCCUGGCCAUUCUUCUGAAACU
rnacentral:sRNA from 1 species